rnacentral:lncRNA from 1 species
GAAAGGGUUUCGCAUUUUGCUGUGGAGCUACAGAUAUCGUUGUUGGAGAGGCCCGUGCCGAAGCUUUGUUGGCAAUGGCACGUCUGUGAGCUUGCAUGCUGCUUUGAUACCACCGAAAACAUGGGAGAUUAAAGUUUACACCGCGCUCAAAUACGUUUUAGGUUGAAUUUUAUACUUGUCAGGUUCUUUUUGCUGCUCUGAAACUGCAGCUUGCGCUUCACGAGUCUGUCAACUUGCAGUGCCCAGAUAAGAGCUUCGUAGGUCUAGACGUGAAGCCCGCAAGCUCCUGCACCGUUCUGUCCUUGCAUUUUAACGAGCAGGGCACGGCGUUACGAUGUCAUCACCGAAGUAAUCGAUGUGGGGUCCCUCGCAAAAUUGAGCUUACUCGUAGCAGAUGUGCUUGGCUGAAGCUUAUCACCUUCCUUGGUCGACUCGUUUAUUGGCUUUUCAUCUCGUAGAUUCAGGGCAAGCAAGUUUUUGAACGAAAUUGGGCGGAUUUGGUGCCAUUUUGUGUCUGCAGCCCUCUGUUGGGGUAGCUGCGCGGUUUGGUGUUGCCGAAGAGACCUGUGCGUGGAUUUUCUUUGCACUUAUUUUGCUGGUCUGCAUAUUCUCCUUUUGAAUGUUGAUAAAUUUAGUUCCAGAAAUUGAUGUAUCUCAUAAUUUGUGGGAUUGCUUAGUGUGAAAUUUUGCGAAUUAGUCUUUGCUCAUCUCGGCGGAGCAGCCUGCUGAACUGUACCAGUUCGAUGUGGACAUGGUACUCAUCAAAGUCCUAGCACGGAUGGGUUUGGGGUUGUCGAGUGGUUCGGGCUCCAUUGAUUUGAUGUACAGUAGUGCUCUGGAGAACGUUUGAGCUUGAUGUGCAUGUAUUCUGCCCGGAAAAGAAAACCAACGUUGCGCUUUAGCCCCUGAAAAUGCAUCUUCUAUUGAACGAACUUUUUCUUUCUGACAAGCCGCUUCGAAUCAGAUCUAUCGGGAUUAAUCUUGUUUCAGAUAUUCGGGAUUGUUCAAGAGGUAUUCAUUUUUUUCUCUUUUAAAACAUGAAUCUGAACUGAAACGUAAAGCACCGAUCGAUGAUGACCUACUUUGUUGUUGCGAAGUGUAGUGCGCUGUGAGCGAGCUCUUUAAAAUCACAUGAACGUCGUUUGGCUCAGUUUAAUGACGAUCGUCGAUUAGGAAAACAAAAAACCACGUUUGGGAUUAGGGACAAAAGCUCUGGAGAUAUUCAACCUAUUUGAUGAAAUGCACUUUGAACGUGAACUAUUUGACUUCAGUUGGGUCGUAUUUACUAGUUGUUUGUGGGAUAUGUUUUUGGGAGCUUGGCAUUUGAGUUCUUGUUGUCACAACCUAGUAACAAGGUGAGAUUUAAAGCAAACAAAGACUUAGCACAGCUUAGCCUUUAGCAUUGGUCAUAUGUGAGGAUAGUUGUAUAGUUCUGUUUUUCCUGGCAAAACUUUUCACAGUACGUUUGUUUUGCAGUUAUCCUCUCAAAGCCUGUGUUGUUGGCAGGUGAAGCUACUUCGUUUAAGCAGAGGUAGUUUGGUUGCAUUUUUAGCAGGCCCUGAGACUCUCAUUGUUUGACAAUGUAUGAUGGUCUAACACUAUUAAAAGAAAAGUUUGGCUUCAACAAGGGUCUCGCUUUCAUUAUCGGACCAUGAAUGGCAGUCUCAACCGAGUCAGUUCAAAACAAUAUCCUUCUAUAAAUGUUAUUCGAGGUUUUGGUUCAUGUGCGACGAAUCAAAUCGAAUCUAAUCAAGUGUGUUAACUGCAAAGACUGCAGACGGAAAUAAUCUGGUCCAAACACACCCUAUGUAUUGCUCUGAAAAUUUUCGAGAAUCAGAUGCUAGCUCAGCCUUUUUCGUCAGCUUCUAAGUGGGUUUCUGUCUUGGUCAAUCUUUCUAACUAGGACUUGAAGUCCAUAGCUCAAACUGUACCAAUCUUGACCACUGUAAGUUAGGUUACAAGGGUGGGUUGGAGGGAGUCAAAAGUUAAUCUGUGCAGGAUGGUUUAAACUUAGCUUACGCUGAGGUAGGGUUGGAGGCCUCUGGACCUGAAUUUUUUGUCCUCGUUAUCUAGUAGUAUAUUUCGAGUUGAGCUAAUAAAUACGAAUUCCCCGACUGGGGUUUUGGACUCUAGAGAUGUGAUUGCUGUGUAACGCACUGAUGUGUUUUCCGUUUUCUGGUCGUUCGCUGCACUUCCAGACUUAUUAAAGUAGAGACAUUCACGCAAGACAAUGUGACACUGAAUGUCCUAUGCCUGAACUCACAGAUGCAACUUUGCAGCACAAAUUGCGGUUUAUGUACAAUAUUGCAUUCAUACAUCCCAGCCAUCUGCCUCCAAGACCACAACGAAUAACUCAAAAUCACGCACUCAUCCUAGUGUUUCAGCAGUCUCAAUUCAAUUCCAAGUAUUGUCUUCUAGCCCCUCCGACUCGAUGUUUGCUCUGACGUCUCAUUUUUAGCCUAGUUUAGAAACAGGUUGCAUGCACCACUGACAACCGCUCUCUUAGAAUGAGUCAGAGUCUGCACCUUAAUCUUCCUUAACCACCUAUUUUUCUCGAUCACCUCAACAAACACUAGGAUCGUCAACUGCGAUAUUCGGCUGUAAAACAUGCUCCAUCAAUCUACGGGGUCAGCAUCCUUACAAAAUGAAGUAGAAUAC